UCUUCAAAGGGGUUGUGAAAUGUGUGCUUAUUCAGUUUCAUAUCACAGCCAUCUUUGAUGAGC
rnacentral:pre_miRNA from 1 species